GAUGAACGCUGGCGGCGUGCCUAAUACAUGCAAGUCGAACGCAUAGCGAAAGGUGCUUGCACCUUUCAAGUGAGUGGCGAACGGGUGAGUAACACGUGGACAACCUGCCUCAAGGCUGGGGAUAACAUUUGGAAACAGAUGCUAAUACCGAAUAAAACUUAGUGUGCAUUACACAAAAGUUAAAGGCGGUUUUGCGGUAACUUAAGGAGGAACCCGCGGGGAAUUAGUUGUUUGGUGGGGUAAAGGCUUCCCAAGACAAGGAUGCAUAGCCGAGUGGAGAGACUGAUCGGCCACAUUGGGACUGAGACACGGCCCAAACUCUACGGGAGGCUGCAGUAGGGAAUCUUCCACAAUGGGCGAAAGCCUGAUGGAGCAACGCCGCGUGUGUGAUGAAGGCUUUCGGGUCGUAAAGCACUGUUGUAUGGGAAGAACAGCUAGAAUAGGAAAUGAUUUUAGUUUGACGGUACCAUACCAGAAAGGGACGGCUAAAUACGUG
rnacentral:rRNA from 1 species